rnacentral:rRNA from 1 species
GAUGAACGCUGGCGGCGCGCCUAACACAUGCAAGUCGAACGAUUAAAGCACCUUCGGGUGUGUAUAAAGUGGCGAACGGCUGAGUAACACGUGGGCAACCUGCCCCUCUCAUUGGGAUAGCCACGGGAAACCGUGGAUAAUACCGAAUACUUCGAGUCUCCCGCAUGGAAGACUCGAGAAAGCUCCGGCGGAGAGGGAUGGGCCCGCGGCCUGUUAGCUUGUUGGUGGGGUAACGGCCUACCAAGGCAAUGAUGGGUAGCUGGGUUGAGAGACCGGCCAGCCAGAUUGGGACUGAGACACGGCCCAGACUCCUACGGGAGGCAGCAGUGGGGAAUCUUGCACAAUGGGCGAAAGCCUGAUGCAGCGACGCCGCGUGCGGGAUGAAGGCCUUCGGGUUGUAAACCGCUUUCAGCAGGGACGAGGCGAAAGUGACGGUACCUGCAGAAGAAGCCCCGGCUAACUACGUGCCAGCAGCCGCGGUAAUACGUAGGGGGCAAGCGUUAUCCGGAUUCAUUGGGCGUAAAGCGCUCGUAGGCGGUCUGUUAGGUCGGGAGUUAAAUCCGGGGGCUCAACCCCCGUUCGCUCCCGAUACCGGCAGACUUGAGUUUGGUAGGGGAAGGUGGAAUUCCUAGUGUAGCGGUGGAAUGCGCAGAUAUUAGGAAGAACACCAGUGGCGAAGGCGGCCUUCUGGGCCAUAACUGACGCUGAGGAGCGAAAGCUAGGGGAGCAAACAGG